rnacentral:rRNA from 1 species
UGGGGAAUUUUCCGCAAUGGGCGCAAGCCUGACGGAGCAAUACCGCGUGAGGGAGGAAGGCUUUUGGGUUGUAAACCUCUUUUCUCAAGGCAGAAGCACUGACGGUACUUGAGGAAUCAGCAUCGGCUAACUCCGUGCCAGCAGCCGCGGUAAGACGGAGGAUGCAAGCGUUAUCCGGAAUUAUUGGGCGUAAAGCGUCCGUAGGCGGUUUAUCAAGUCAGUUGUUAAAGACUGCAGCUCAACUGUGGGCGAGCAACUGAAACUGAUGAACUAGAGUGCGGUAGGGGUAGAGGGAAUUCCCAGUGUAGCGGUGAAAUGCGUAGAUAUUGGGAAGAACACCAGUGGCGAAGGCGCUCUACUGGGCCGAGACUGACGCUGAUGGACGAAAGCUAGGGGAGCGAAAGAGAUUAGAUACCCCGGUAGUCC